UACGUAGGAGGCGAGCGUUGUCCGGAUUUACUGGGCGUAAAGGGCGCGCAGGCGGCCCACCAAGUACGAUGUGAAAUCUCCCUGCUCAACGGGGAGGGUGCAUAGUAAACUGGUGAGCUAGAGGACGGUAGAGGGGGGUGGAAUUGCUGGUGUAGCGGUGAAAUGCGUAGAGAUCAGCAGGAACACCCGUGGCGAAGGCG
rnacentral:rRNA from 1 species